CGGGCCGGCAGAAUGUUGGAUAAGUGAAUAUGUUGGAUAAUAAGGAGGGAUUAAAGAAAAGCCUAUUAAACAUCAAAUUAGGUUAUGAUUUUACAAAUUAAGCACCAAAACAUCAUGUUAUACAACAAAUUUGACAGAAAAAGUAGUUCAAUAUGCAGUAAUGUUAUGUUGUAAUUACCGUAUUUACGAAUUUAGCACCAAAAUAUCACAAUGUAUUGAAAACAUUGACUACAAAAAUGUGUUGGAUAAUCCAGAAAAUUGGAUAAGCGAGUGUUGGAUAAGUGAGACUCUACUGUACUAAAAAUUGACUAAAAUAAAGAUAGAAUUGCAUAAAAUGAACUUACAGUAACAACCUUGUCAGAAGUUAAGUUCAGUCCUUGCUGCCUAGAGAAACAACUGUGGAUGAGAGGGGGAGGCAGACUGCGUUGGAUAAUCCAGAAGGUUGGAUAAGUGAAAGUUGGAUAAGUGAGACUCUACUGUACAACUUCAGGCUACACAGCAGAAGUGAGUGCUGGCAAUCUCAAGAUUAGAAGCAUUAAACAUUCCAACCACAAAGGCUUUUUUAUCUCUUUAUAGACCCAUAAUCCAAAAUAUACAGUUAGUACACUAUCUGUCUGUCUGUCUGUCUAUCUGUCUAUCUAUCUAUCUAAUAUGGUCUCUCCUUCUACUUACAGUAUUCUCUUUCAUGGUACCUUCAGUUCUAAAGCAGUAUUUGACACACUGGCUCACAGAAUCAGACCAAACACCUUCACACACCAAAGUCUCUCUCAUGGUUGCUUGCUUAAUUUCCUUUAACCAAAUCACCUGCUGCAGCCUAUUCUUUAUUGCUUACAGGUGCCAUUCAUUAGUUACUCUGUGACUGACUCAGACUUGAGUGUGAACUUCCAAACUUGGGCCCUCCCUCCAGGUGUUUUGGACCUCUCAGCCACUUAAGUGGAAAGGAAAGGAAGGGACCUGAGGCUGCAAGGAAUGGUGGGAGUUUAAGUCCAAAACACCUGGAGGGAGGGCCCAAGUUGGCCCAUGCCUGGUCUAGGUAGUGAAUGUAGUUGCUUCAUUCUUCCAUGCCCUUUUUCUCUCUACGCCCCCUAAAAAGCCAUAAAGGUUUAAAGUUAUCCAUUGAGGCCGGAGUGUCCAGCUCAUUCCCAUGGAUGCCACAUCAGCCUUAACCAGCCAAGGGUUGCCUUCAAAGGGCUGUUGCUUCUAUGGAUAAUUUGUGGAUAUCGAGGGAAACUAUAACACUAGUUAAGAAAAUUUGGGGGAAAAAGUUCCUGGUUUGAAUGUGUUAUUUCCUGUUUCAUUGCAUGGUCCUGUCUUUGAAAGUGGUUGUUUUACUGCAGAAACUUUGUUUUCAUGCCAGAAACUAUGUUGCAUUGGUUGAAACACUAUGAGGUAUUCAUUGAAAAGUUAUUGCAACAUGUGCUGCAGAAUGUCCCUCCUGCAAAGACAGUUUUUGCAACUUUCCCCUUGUUUUUAUGAUCGAACCAAUUAGGAAAUGACAUUUAUCACCCUGGAACAAAAAUCACGUUGCAUAAUGUAAUUUUUGUUUACAUAGUUAUUGGUGCUUUUUAGUUUUCACCCAAUUUGGGUCCCCAGAUGUUAUUGACCAAGAACUCCCAUCCCUUUUGAUUAUCUGCCAUACAGACUGGGGAUGAUGGGAAUUGUGACCCAGCAGCACUUGUGGCUCUGAGAUUGGGGAAAGAUCAAAGGAUAUUUUAAAGUCAGACAUCAUAGACAAAGGCCUUGUAUUUAAAUUCAAAUCCCACUCCCCUGGUCAAGCCGUAUGCCAACCAACCCACAUCAGCUCUAGUCAGGAUGUCUAAUAAUGACUAAGACAGGAGUUGUAGUCCAGAAAAGCUCCUUCUUUGGAGGCUUUUAAGCAGAGGCUGGAUGGCCAUCUGUCGGGGGUGCUUUGAAUGCGAUUUCCUGCUUCUUGGCAGGGGGUUGGACUGGAUGGCUCAUGAGGUCUCUUCCAACUUUACUAUUCUAUGAUUCUAUGACCUUGAAGGGCCAUGUAAAAUGGCACGGAGGGUCUGAUUUGGCCUGUGGGCCUUGAGUUUGGCACAUGUGCGUUAAGAUAACAGGUUUUUUUUUUCAGAGUUCAGUACUGACCAGGAUGACAUGAGCCUUAGACUGCAGGUCUCCUCCUUGGCCCAGGUGGCUGACCUUUACUUCCUUGUUGUCAUCUUACAAAAUUACUGAUUUUGAUUUUUGCCCACAAAAGAACACAGAACACCAGAGACAUGCUGAUACAUUCGGAUAUAGUAGAUUACCAUUCUCAUACUAUUAAAGUCAAAUCCUACUUGGUAGGAAAUUUGGCACACCAACAUUGCUAGAUACGUCUGCCAUUUAUUCAAACAAAGGUACCAAACUGUUACAACGCAAAUGCUUUUGGAUUUCUGCCCUUCAAACUAUAUACCUGAAUGGUGUAAAUGACACCAAUUCAUACCAAUGUUUCUUGUAAGCCCUGAUGCAUAGCUCUUUAAAUACUUCAGUACUUUUAUCACCUGCUAUACCUGUUUCAAGCAUCUUUUGUGGAGCAACAUUAACAUCACCCCUUUAAAUGCUCUACUUUAUGUAGGAGCUUCUACCUGCUGGCCAUGUGCUUGCUAUGGAAUCCAACGAAUGCAGAGCAUCAUUUAGGAGAACUUGAGGUGAAAGACUUGUAGCACCACAAUCACUGAGGUCUGAAAUGACGAAGAUCAUUCAUUCAGGACACACAGGAGCAGAGGAGUGAAUUUUGUUGCUGUGUCUCGGGAUCAAUGAUAGGAAAAAGCGCAAU